rnacentral:lncRNA from 1 species
GCUCCCAGCGCUUCGCGUACCAGGAAGGGGACGGCGUCCUGAAAGGGACAUUUGAAAAACGGAGGCAACGCGUCUAUUAAUUAGGUGGCGGCGCCUGGGGUCGCAGCACUCCAGAGGCUGAGAGUCUCGCCCUUUUGCCUAGUGGAGGAGCUCGGCUCACUGCAAGCUCCGCGCCACAACCCCCCUGCCGCCCCAGGUUCAAGAGAUUCUCCUGCCUCAGUCUCCCGAGUAGACUGGGAUUACAGAAUGCUGGGGUGGAAGAGUUCCCAGUUUUAAAGGAGAAGUACAAGAAGACCUGUAAUUGUUAGCAAGAUAUACAGAACACAGUGCACACAGCAGCGCACUUCUCAAGUCAGCUCCAGGUUCAAGCUCAAAGGCCUAAAGUUUUGCAAACAUCUGGUGAAGAGGAAGAUUUUUGAGACUCUCCCAGCCUAUUACAUAAAGGAAACAUAACCGAGAAUUUUGUCUAAAGGUUUUCAUUUGAAACAAAGCAAGAGCUUCUUUUCCCCACUCCGAAUUAAAACACAGCGCAACAGGGGCCACAUUUAUUUGGCAGGACAGUACCAAUAUGUGAACAUCCUCCUCCUCACUGCCGUUGGGGUGACUUGACUCAUAAGCAGCUGUUCUUACACAAAAUAUUAACCCGAACUGCUAGUGUCACACAGAAGGAAGUGGUCUUGAUUGUGUAUGUGGGCCAGCAUGUUCUACAAAUGCUGAAAGGUGGGAGAAGCACAAAUACAACCCACUCUUUAAAAAAACUAAAUAAUUCAAAGUAAAAUUUUCUAUCCCCGCCCCCUCCCCACCCUUGCCUUCUCCAAUAAUAAAAAGUAGAAUCCAG